AUGCGGUACUACAGCCCAACCUAGCGUCUACCGAACAGCGUGCCGGAGAUGUAGUACCCCGCCGGGGCCGUCAUGGAGGACACCUUAUGCAUGUGGGCCAUCUCAAUGUUGAGAGGCCCGACGGAGCUGGCAAACUUCUUCCUCGCUGCCGGCUACCGCCACCUCCCACGCGGCUCUCCGGUCAUGUUCUGCGUUGAAGCGGUUCCGGCCAAUGGAGGCCUUGUGAUUGGCCUCACUGCUCGCUUCACCAACCGCUUCAAUGCCUACUUCCUCCUCGGCAAAGUCUUCUGGUGUGGGAGCGAGUUCAUCGCCUUCACCACCCAUAACAUCUUCACCAAAUUCGACCACAUCUUCCCCACUGCCAACGGCAUGCACACUCUCCCCUACAACAUCGAGGACGAGGAGUGA
rnacentral:rRNA from 1 species